rnacentral:rRNA from 1 species
GGGUACACGAGCGGCGAACGGGUGAGUACGUGGGUGAUCUGCCCUGCACUCUGGGAUAAGCCUGGGAAACUGGGUCUAAUACUGGAUAUGACCACUGGUUGCAUGGCCUGGUGGUGGAAAGAUUUAUCGGUGCAGGAUGGGCCCGCGGCCUAUCAGCUUGUUGGUGGGGUAAUGGCCUACCAAGGCGACGACGGGUAGCCGACCUGAGAGGGUGAUCGGCCACACUGGGACUGAGACACGGCCCAGACUCCUACGGGAGGCAGCAGUGGGGAAUAUUGCACAAUGGGCGCAAGCCUGAUGCAGCGACGCCGCGUGAGGGAUGACGGCCUUCGGGUUGUAAACCUCUUUCGGUAGGGACGAAGCGCAAGUGACGGUACCUAUAGAAGAAGCACCGGCCAACUACGUGCCAGCAGCCGCGGUAAUACGUAGGGUGCGAGCGUUGUCCGGAAUUACUGGGCGUAAAGAGCUCGUAGGCGGUUUGUCGCGUCGUCUGUGAAAUCCCACAGCUCAACUGUGGGCGUGCAGGCGAUACGGGCAGACUUGAGUACUGCAGGGGAGACUGGAAUUCCUGGUGUAGCGGUGAAAUGCGCAGAUAUCAGGAGGAACACCGGUGGCGAAGGCGGGUCUCUGGGCAGUAACUGACGCUGAGGA